UUCCUGAGCCUUGUACACACCGCCCGUCAAGUCAUGGGAGCCGGGAAUACCCGAAGUGGCCGAGAUUCAUCGGUCCCUACGGUAGGCUCGGUGACUGGGACU
rnacentral:rRNA from 1 species